rnacentral:lncRNA from 1 species
UGUGACGUUUCUCACGAUGAAAAUUAAAAGGUGAUUUAGCAUGUAGAAACCAAUUUGCCAAAUCAUUCAACUCAGACUUGGGAAGUGCCUGUACAUUUCCGAAAUGGCGUGCCUCGUGUGUCUCGCUGCCUGUUCUUUAGCUUACGUCUCACCCCAUUCAACAGUAAAAAGUAAAACAAAUGCUGGUGGUUACCUUGUUGCAGCCAAAUGGUGAAAGGUGUGACAAAGACAGAUUGAACCCUUGUAUGCUGAAUGCGAUUGCAGUGUAAU